GUCUCACUUUGAUUUUCAUUGAAUUUUAUUUUUAAGUUAAAAAGCUUAAAUUUAAUAGAAAGACGAGAAGACCCUAUAGAGUUUAAUAAAUAUGGGUUUUAAUUGUUUAAGGUUUUUAUAAUAAUUAUUACUUGGUUUAUUUGGUUGGGGUGACAUAUGAAUUGAAUUAACUUCUUUUUAGCUGUACAUUGAUUUAUGAAUGGUUGAUCCUGCAAUUUGGAUUAUAAGAAUAAAUUACCUUAGGGAUAACAGCGUAAUCUUUUUGGAGAGCUCAAAUCAAUAAAAGGGAUUGCGACCUCGAUGUUGGAUUAAAGUUAAAUUUGGGUGCAGAAGCUUGAAUUUUG
rnacentral:rRNA from 1 species